CUGCCCGGGACUGAGUCGUUUCGAGAAAAGCGGAGACUGCUGCUCUGAGCGUUUUCGGACGAUCGUUGCGGCGAGAACCGCGUUAAUCGAAACGGCUUGAACCGGGCAAAAGUCGUAACAAGGUUUCCGUAGGUGAACCUGCGGAAGGAUCAUUA
rnacentral:rRNA from 1 species